UACGUAGGGGGCGAGCGUUGUCCGGAAUCAUUGGGCGUAAAGCGCGUGUAGGCGGCCCGGUAAGUCCGCUGUGAAAGUCCAGGGCUCAACCCUGGGAUGGCGGUGGAUACUGUCGGGCUCGAGUCCGGAAGAGGCGAGUGGAAUUCCUGGUGUAGCGGUGAAAUGCGCAGAUAUCAGGAGGAACACCAAUGGCGAAGGCAGCUCGCUGGGACGUGACUGACGCUGAGACGCGAAAGCGUGGGGAGCAAACAGG
rnacentral:rRNA from 1 species